AGUUUGUAUCUCAUAAAAAAGAUCCAUAAGUGACCAAGUGCAUUUUAUCUUUUUUUUUAUUUUUUUUAAUCCCAUUGCCAUUUUCAACAAAAUUAUUAUCUUCAACUCUCUUCACAAAUGCUACCCAAUCAACAUCUCCGACCAAGCUCGAGAACAAUCAAGAUUUGCAUAAUUUAAAAGGUUAAUUGAACUUUCUUUUUAUUAGAUGGAAAGGUUUGCAUAUUUAACGAAGAAGGAAUGUUGCUAGCAGCCAUGCGAGGUCUCAUUCAUCCAUCAAUCAAAACAUUAUUUAUUUAUUUUAUUUUGAGAGGUUCUCCUUGUCGAAACACUCCUAAAACUUGCAUGAGACCGGUUCAAGACCACACAAUUUUGCAAUAACGACAUAAAUGACAGAGGCAUUAGGAUAAUCCCUAAAAAAUAAGCCCGCCCAACAAAAUUAUAUAGACAACCCAACAUUAGCCUUUUCUUCCAUAUAACACACAAUUCAAACUCAUCUCCUAUAUUUCAAUAUCCCUUCAAACUUAAGAGCUUGUGGCAAUCACCUAGUAUGCAUGUUAAUCUAGGUCAGCUCAACACUUAAUCUAGGUCAGCUUAACACCGACGACUAUUAGCAAGGAACAGUUGAAGCUAUAAAAAAAAUUUUAAAAAAAGUCAUCAAAAUUUUCAAAGAAUGCGUCCCAAAAUUAAAAAAUAGAACAAAAAAGGAGAAAAAAGGGAUCCAAGUUAUU
rnacentral:lncRNA from 1 species